AGGAUCAGGGAGCAAAUAGGCCCUGUGAAUAGCCUUGCAAUCUUUGUAAGCCAACUGUAUAUGGUAUAAAUGUGAAAAUCUGUUUAUUUCUAAAGCUCUCACUAAUGUGAUCUGUAGCCUGGGUGGGGCUUUCUCCUACCACUACCCCAUGAAACGGCCAUUUGGUCCCUGGCUGUUGGCAAAACUGCCAGUUGUGGUGGUGGUUUUCCUGAUGGAGAAAAACUUGCCACUGGGAACUGGAUGAAGACUUUCCAAUUCAUUUUGCUAAGGUCUUUUGAACAGCCAUCAAGCACUGACUGUUUUUAGUCACUAUGGAACCGGGCUGGAGAAAAUGGGCUUUCAACCAUAAUUUUAGAUUGCAAGACGCUAUAGCCAUCCAGGAGGAUUAUAACAUUUGACUGUCUUAAAGCUUCCCUCCUUCUGUCUUACAGAGUGAAGAUAUUUUUGUUGUUUUUCCAGCUUGUGGUAGAAAAGUUCAUGGGCUGCUGGGACAACAGGAAGGGGUUUUCAAAAAGAGCAUAAGGAAGUUGGAUGUCUCAUUCCCAUUGAUUUCAAUGUGCUCCAGAUCCCUGCAUUUGCCUGCUUUUAAAACCUACAAGGUUGAGUGUCUCCUAACUAUUCUGAUGAAUGCCUGGGAAUGAAUCAACAACCAUGCUGAAGCUGACUAAUAAGUGAGUUAUGUUCAGGGUGCAUUUCACCCAGUUGUAGCUAUCGGUCCCUUCAGAUGGAUUUUAAGAGCCUGGAAAUCUUAAUUUCAUCAGUAAUAUUUUGUCACAA